AUUCAGGAAGCUGUAUACUACCAGUGUAGUAAGAACGGUUGAUACUUGGAGGUUCACAAAAUGCUUCCACAAACACCAUUUCGUUUGAUCCUGAAAGCAAUCCAGACAGCACAUCUCAAUUCAGAAAGUUGCCCUAGCCACAUUUCAGGUGCUCAAUAGAGACCUGUGGUCAGUGGCUACCAUACAGGCCAGCUCAGCACUGGAGGGUUUAAGGAUCAUUAUCCUCCCAGGUAGGUUAAAGCUGUUUUUCAUUUCCUCUUUUAUCUCCUACCUAUCUGCCAUUAUCAUUCAUCAAGAACUUAGAGAAUUCCAUAUAAGUACUUCCCCAUCUAUCUCAUCCUCUUUACCUCAGCUCACGUGUCUUCAGUAUUUUGUACAUCAGCUAUUGCUAAAUCCUCUGAAUUGGGCUUUUUGCCUUUUGUCUACCUCCUCCAGUCUCUCUCCACCAGGUUACUGGUGUGUUCUGCCAAAGCGGAGACCCCACCUUCUCCCAUUUCCUCUUCAAAAUCUUCUGUGGCUCCCACUCCCUGCUGAAGUUCAAACACUGAGGCCCCCAAGACCCCAUCAAACAGUUCCACCCUGCUUUUAACCUUCUUUCCCCUGCCCCCUUUAUGUGACACAGUUAAAACCCAGGUCUCAGCUUGGUCCACUUCAUCACACUUCCCCCAGUGACUUAUGAAGUAAUGUUAUCUUAUUUCCCAAAAUAUCCUUAAACACCAUGGAACAAUUGUAGCCAAACAUUGAAAGCUUUUAGGACCUGUUUCUGUUUCUAUUUCCACUAAUAACAAUUUUCCUCUCUAUAAAAAAGUGUUUCAUAUUUGUCUUAUUUGAUCAUUUUUAUUUUGUAAUUCUUUUUUUUAUUUUAAGGGCAAUUCCAGUGGUCCACAACAUUUGGAUAUGAGAUGCCUACUUGUUUAAUUUCUCAGUAGUUUUCAUCCCACAAGAAAACUUCUAGCAAAAGUGAUGCAAAAAAUGUCAGUAAUCAGUCAUCACACAGGUGCGUGUGUGUGUAUGAAAAUUGAAGCUAGGCUGGGCGCGAUGGCUCACACCUGUAAUCCCAGCACUUUGGGAGGCUGAGGCGGGUGAAUCGCUUGAGGUCAGGAGUUCAAGAUCAGCCUGGCCAACAUGGUAAAACCCUGUUUCUACUAAAAAUACAAAAAUUUGCCAGGCUGGUGGCAGGCACCUGUAAUCCUAGCUACUCGGGAGGCAGGAGGAUCACUGGAACUCGGGAGGCAGAUGUUGCAAUGAGCCGAGAACGAGCCAUUGCACUCCAGCUUGGGCAACAAGAGUGAGAAAAAAAGAAGGAAGGAAGGGAGGAAGGGAGGGAAGGAAGAAAGAUAAAAUUGAAGCUAAAGCAUACUUAAUUGUGUUUGAGCAAACUUUGACAUCACUUCAAAUUAUAAGAAACACUAUGGGAUAUUGAAAAUGUAGGCUAGGAAUCUUUAAGAUCCUCUUUGGCUUUAGUUAUGACAUAAAAGCACCUUGGCUGCCAUCUUUGAAGUAUGGUUGAAAGGUUGGUGUUUUUCUUUUUCCCCUCAUUUGAAAAAUUUAAGUAACUGAAGACGUAAUUUUGUAGACUCUACUCCAAAAGAGCCAUCAAUAAACAAUUCACGGGAUGUCCACAUGCCAGUGAUGUUACAAGCUGCUCUUGACUGUUUAUGGAUGUGUGAUUUAACUCCUGAAUUAGAAUGGAAGUAAAUUGAGUCAUAGAUUAUUAUUGAAGGAAGUUUGCACUUGCAUCUCUAAAAAUUAGUAUUUAAAGACAAGUGUCUCAUAAGUUUGUUCCAGCUGGAGUUCCCAUUCCCUAAGUUUGUCUAACAACUUAAUUUUCAUUUCACUUGGGAGUCUACUUUAGUCCUUUGCACAUAUUUGAUAUAAAUGAAGAUCUAAUAGCAAACACUUUUUGCUUGGCUAAUAGGCACAUAAAGGCAGUUCUCCUUGCCAGACUAUCCAGUUUGGGGCUUUGCUGAGAAAACUCACAAACAAAGCUCAGUAAAGCUCAGGGCUCCCCAGACUGCCUAGAGUUCUGUUCAUCUUUUUCCUACCUCCUCCCAACACCAAACUUACUGAGCACCUACUGUGUGUUGUGUCUGUGGAAAGACGAAUGAGACACUGGGCUGUCACAAGUGUCUCCGGAAUUUGAGUGUAAAUAAUUAAAAUAAAAUAGGGGCCUUCUGAGGUGAUUCAAGCAAAACAAGUGCUUCUUCUUUAAAAGGCUGAGGAUUCCAGGUGGCUAGUAGGCAGUGUAGUUGGAGAACUAGAGGAUAGGUUAGAAGAGGCUCCAGGGCUGGGUGUGAUUGAAAGAGGGUGGGCAGAGCCAUGCCAGGUCUGACUGGUUUCAUGUGCUAAUGAGUCACAGUCACCAAUCAGUCUUCAUCCAGGAAAAGCUGCCUCUUUAAAUCCCCUGGAGGGGACCAGGUGGAGCCAGGAGAACCUGACCUGGAGAUGGGCCCUGCUCCAACCCACUGUGACCUUGGCAAUGUCACUCGCCCUCAUUUAAAAAUGGGAGCGUGGGAUCAUAUGGUUCCUCCAGCUUGAGACCAGAGUCCUCUGAACUGCUGUCCCUGGAUGCCUGCCCCUUGAAUGGGGGUCAGGCUGUGCAUACAUUGUGAACUAUGGAACCAUUUAUGCCAGAUACUGCAGUUAGAAGCUGAGGCUUAUGUUCAUGAGUCACAGGCAUAUAUGUUCUGUCCCAAGACACAGAACCCCUUUAAGCCUCUACCAUUUAUCCACCCGUGUCCCCAGUCUCUGCCCAGUCCUGAGUCCUACCUCUUUUGUCUCCUCCCUGACUGGUUCAUGUUUUAAUCAUUCAUUCAGUGAACACCUUUAGCACCUACUGUAUACUAGGCCCUAUAUUGGGUACCAAGCCCUAUUCCUGAACCCAGUCUGGGGUGAAGUUUCUAAGUGGAGAGGGAGAAAGAAAAGGCAGGCAGGGGUCCCAGAGACUGUGCCAUUCCAUGCGGUCAGGUCUGUCCAGGAAUAUGACAUUCAGCUACCACCCUAAAGACAGCUCUCCAGGCCGGGUGCAGUGGCUCACACCUGUAAUCCCAGUACUUUGGGAGGCCGAAGCAGGCAAAUCACUUGAGUCC
rnacentral:lncRNA from 10 species